GAAUUCGGCCAUUUCAGACUCAAAAUUCGCUUAUUAGCAACCCUUGCUUCAAGUAACAAUUUAUAACAGCUAUUUCAUUUGUUAAUUCUAUUUAAUAUUUUCCUAACCAGAAACUGAAGCAAGGGUUGCUAAUAAAUGAAUUUUGGAAAAAAUGAUAUUAUUUGUCUGGCCUUUCUCACGUAUAAGAGUGGCCUCCCUUGAAGCCAGGUUCUCGUUGCCAGGCAAUAUUAUAGGUGGCGCCGCUGUCAACAUGUGCAUGUGAAAACGAAAGUAGAUUGUUUAUCUAGGAAUUAUCACAACAUUUUACCCUUCUGCGUUGAAUUUUUAAGGUAAGUAGAUUAAAUGCUAUUUUGUUGUGUUAAAUAACUAGGGAAGUAUUCAUUCAAUUCUAUUUCAAUGGAAAUGGAGCAGAAUUAUUGACACACAAGUGGCACAACGGUGCAGACUGUUAAUGUUAUCUGUGACACUCACAGUAGGAAGACAAAAAAUCUACUGACACAGUGAAAGUGUUUACAUUUUGCAUUAUUUUUCUGAUUCAACCUGAUGAAUGGUGUGUACUCAUUGAAUACAUGUACAGUAUAUGAAAUUAAUGAAGCAGUAAUUUGACAAAUACAAGCAAUGAGACAUUGUUCAUUGAUUAAAAUAUGGAAUAUUUUUCUGGUGUCCUUCACAAAUGAGACAAUUAAUCCUUGAGAUAUAAAAGAAUGCUUCAAGGUCAACAGAAUAUGAUUGAAAUUAUAAAGGCUUGUAAUGUAGUUUCUUAUUAUCAUUAUUAUAAUAUUGACAUGUUGUGAUGUCUUGCACUAAUCAGUGUUUGUUUUGUAUUAUAUUUCAGAUAUAAUAGUAUGAAUACAGAGAUGAUUAUUUAGUUACCUUCAACUGGUCAGUGGUCAAAAGGGAGUAUGUGUGUGUGUCUUGAAGCAUUGAAUGCCCCCAAAACAACCAGUAUGAUAAGAAGGUGUACAAUCUGGGUUGAAAACAGCCAUGGACAAUGAAUUUGGAGGUGCAUGCUCGAGCAUCAGAAAUUACAUACCUGUACUUGGAAUAAAUAAUUGCACAAUACACAUUUACUGAGAAGUGACUAAUGUUUAUGUUAAAGUGCAAUAUCCAUGUUUGUAACAUUUACAUGGGGGUAAUAGUUACAGUGUUGAAAGAGACUACCAGUGUUACAUUUCAAACUAAGUUACAGUGUGGAUGCUAAUUCUAAAUUCUUGUUAAUCAAGUGUUUUUAAUAACUUAUGAAUACUAAUUAUUUAUCAAACUGUUUAAUUUAUCACAUUCCUACAUCAUUAUUUUAUAUAAAAUGCUUGUAGUUAUAUAAUAUAUGUCAGGUUAAAUGGUAAUAAAUUUUGUUUCUUUGUAAAUAUCUUGCUUUUUGAAAAAAAAUUAUAAAUGCAACAAAACUGAUGAAAAGAUAGGCAGUUACUUUUCACAAGUUCAUGGAAUAGCAGAAUAUACAUAACAUUGUAUAGUUUUCCUAACUUGUAUCUGGGGCCAUCAUAAAUUAAUUGCUAGAUUAAAUUUUCUUCACAAGAUUUCAGAUCAGAUAUUUCAUUUUUGCUUUAAUGAGGUUUUAAAGAGAAAAAAUGACAUAAUUAUAAUAGUUAUUUUUGUCAAAUGGAUUUGAUUAAAAGCAAUAAUAACUGAAAGUUAAUAAUUUAUAACAUUCUUUAUAGAAAUAUUCCAUGGAUGAUCUUUGAAACUAAAAAAAUUAAGGGGAUGCAUAAAUAUAGUGUGAGUGGAUGAUAAUCUAACAAUUAAUAUAGUAUGGCCUUACAAAUAUAAAUUAAUAAAUACUUACUGGCAAUAAUAUUGAUUAGGUAUGAUGCAGCUAUAUGAUAAACAUAUAUUUUUUGAUGCUGAAAAAAAGCUGCAUAAUUAUGAUUGGAACUAGCUCCAUAUUUCCUUUCUUUAACUUCAUAUUAGAUAGCCAAGUAUCACAAUUAUAUGAAUUCUAAUGUCAGUUGUGUACACAACUGAAAAUGCAUUGCAUUCAUUUUCUAAAGUAAUAGUUAGCAUUUGGUCAUAUCUCAUGUUUGGCCUUCAAUAACUGGAAAGGGAAGGCAAUAAAUGGAAUUUAUGAUUACACACAAAAUAUGGAGAAGACUGAAAGCAGUAACUG
rnacentral:lncRNA from 1 species